CUUCUCUCCUCAACCCAAAAGAAGUGACAGAAUAUGCAGAUGCCAGCUCCAGGAGGCCAGGUGCCUGGUUUCUUUUCAGCAGAAAGAGAAUGAGGAUGUCUUCAGCUGAUAUAAUCCUGCCCUGGAGCAUCACAGCAUCAUGGGACUAUUGAGGCCUUAGCUGUGACCAGAGAACGGAGUUAUGUCUGGACAUGCCAUAGCUGGCCUAUAGACAGAAAAACUA
rnacentral:lncRNA from 1 species